UGACCGCUGGCGGCGUGCCUAAUACAUGCACGUCGAGCGACCAGACGAGGAGCUUGCUCCUCUGACGUUAGCGGCGGACGGGUGAGUAACACGUGGAUAACCUACCUAUAAGACUGGGAUAACUUCGGGAAACCGGAGCUAAUACCGGAUAAUAUAUUGAACCGCAUGGUUCAAUAGUGAAAGACGGUUUUGCUGUCACUUAUAGAUGGAUCCGCGCCGCAUUAGCUAGUUGGUAAGGUAACGGCUUACCAAGGCAACGAUGCGUAGCCGACCUGAGAGGGUGAUCGGCCACACUGGAACUGAGACACGGUCCAGACUCCUACGGGAGGCAGCAGUAGGGAAUCUUCCGCAAUGGGCGAAAGCCUGACGGAGCAACGCCGCGUGAGUGAUGAAGGUCUUCGGAUCGUAAAACUCUGUUAUUAGGGAAGAACAAAUGUGUAAGUAACUAUGCACGUCUUGACGGUACCUAAUCAGAAAGCCACGGCUAACUACGUG
rnacentral:rRNA from 1 species